AACCAACUGGGAUUACCUUAGUAACGGCGAGUGAAGCGGUAAAAGCUCAAAUUUGAAAUCUGGUACUUUCAGUGCCCGAGUUGUAAUUUGUAGAAUUUGUCUUUGAUUAGGUCCUUGUCUAUGUUCCUUGGAACAGGACGUCAUAGAGGGUGAGAAUCCCGUUUGGCGAGGAUACCUUUUCUCUGUAAGACUUUUUCGAAGAGUCGAGUUGUUUGGGAAUGCAGCUCAAAGUGGGUGGUAAAUUCCAUCUAAAGCUAAAUAUUGGCGAGAGACCGAUAGCGAACAAGUACAGUGAUGGAAAGAUGAAAAGAACUUUGAAAAGAGAGUGAAAAAGUACGUGAAAUUGUUGAAAGGGAAGGGCAUUUGAUCAGACAUGGUGUUUUUUAAAUGUGCAAGUCUCUCGUGGACAUGUGCCUCUGGAAAUUAACACUGGGCCAACAUCAGUUCUGGCGGCAGGAUAAAUCAUUAAGAAUGUAGCUACCUCGGUAGUGUUAUAGCUUUUUGGAAUACUGCC
rnacentral:rRNA from 1 species